rnacentral:rRNA from 1 species
UACGUAGGGGGCAAGCGUUGUCCGGAUUUAUUGGGCGUAAAGAGCGUGUAGGCGGCUUUACAGGUCCGUUGUGAAAACUCGAGGCUCAACCUCGAGACGCCGGUGGAAACCGUAAGGCUAGAGUCCGGAAGAGGCGAGUGGAAUUCCUGGUGUAGCGGUGGAAUGCGCAGAUAUCAGGAGGAACACCAAUAGCGAAGGCAGCUCGCUGGGACGGUACUGACGCUAAGGCGCGAAAGCGUGGGGAGCGAACAGG